rnacentral:rRNA from 1 species
UACGUAGGUGGCAAGCGUUAUCCGGAAUUAUUGGGCGUAAAGAGCGCGCAGGUGGUUAAUUAAGUCUGAUGUGAAAGCCCACGGCUUAACCGUGGAGGGUCAUUGGAAACUGGUUGACUUGAGUGCAGAAGAGGGAAGUGGAAUUCCAUGUGUAGCGGUGGAAUGCGUAGAGAUAUGGAGGAACACCAGUGGCGAAGGCGGCUUCCUGGUCUGCAACUGACACUGAGGCGCGAAAGCGUGGGGAGCAAACAGG